GGUGAACGCUGGCGGCGUGCUUAAGACAUGCAAGUCGAACGCAGUCUUCGGACUGAGUGGCGCACGGGUGAGUAACACGUAACUGACCUACCCCCAAGUCGCGGAUAACUGGCCGAAAGGUCAGCUAAUACGUGAUGUGAUGUCCCCUUUCUGGGGGGCCAUUAAAGGUUUACUGCUGGGGGAUGGGGUUGCGUUCUAUCAGCUAGUUGGCGGGGUAAAGGCCCACCAAGGCAACGACGGAUAGCCGGCCUGGGAGGGUGGCCGGCCACAGGGGCACUGAGAAACGGGUCCCAGUCCUACGGGAGGCAGCAGUUAGGAAUCUUCCACAAUGGGCGAAAGCCUGAUGGAGCGACGCCGCGUGAGGGAUGAAGGUUCUCGGAUCGUAAACCUCUGAAUCAGGGACGAAAGACGCGUAAGCGGGAUGACGGUACCUGAGUAAUAGCACCGGCUAACUCCGUGCCAGCCGCCGCGGUAA
rnacentral:rRNA from 1 species